rnacentral:tRNA from 1 species
UUUUAAGGUGGCAGAAUCAUGCAUCAAGUUUAAGCCUUGAAGAUGAGGUUUUAUCUCUCUUAAUU